GAGUAAGCCACGUGUGCCGGCGUUCCAGAAGCAGACCUUCUGAUCUCAGACUCUUCCUUUUCAAGGAAGUCCCAACUCCUAUCUCCUACCUGGCUCUGAACCCAAGGUGUGUCUAAGAUGGCCAGGGACGUCGGAACAGCCAGGGAGAAGAGUGAAGGUAAGAAGGGCUGAAAGGCGAGAGGGCAUAAAGCGCACCCACGGGCUGGCGUGGCGAACAACCAGGCACAGCCUGGGCCAUGGGGGCACCAGCUUUACCCCGUCUCUCCUACGUCUAUGUGCACAUAGAGCAAACCACACACACACACACACACACACACACACACACACACACACACCCACCCUAGCUGGCCUGGCACCAGGAAGGGGGUAGGUCCACAUACACACACACACACACACACACACACACACACACACACCCUAGCUGGCCUGGCACCAGGAAGGGGGUAGGUCCAUUUCCACAGUUUAAUUGCCUUGAGGAGCUCGGGGCUGAUUUCCACAACUUACAGAGAAAGACGGAGAGGGAGCCACGGUAAGAGGACAUUUCUAGGGGCGAAUGACAUUUCUGGAACUUUGCUUUCUCUGGCUCUCUGAGAGAAGGGGUUAAAAAAUCAUCAUGUCCCUCAGCAGUGACCUUGCAGAGGAAGCUGCAUGCUGUGUUUCUGCCAGAGGGUGCCCUGGAGGGCAGAGGAGGGGUGUCCACAGGCUGUGGCCAGCCCAGGACAAUAAAAUCUGGUGAUAGCAUGCCAGUGGCUGGAAGGAGACAGGAGGGGACAAAAAAAAAAAAAAGAGAGACCAGGCUGGAUUUUUCCGCCAGGCUAGCAUUUCUGUCAGACCACAACCUCCUUUUCUUGGCGCCCUCCCCUUUCAGGUUUCACAGAUUGAACAGCCGGGACCCAUAAAAGGGGACAUUGCGGGUCACAGGAAAAAGGAUGGGUUAGACUCAGGGGAAGCCCUGGAAUUUCCUUGCCUGGAGAUCUUCAAGACUCAGAUGAGAGUCUCCUGAACCCGGGAGGAUUUCUUGCUCUUCUCCUUGGCCUCUUUCCCUUCCCUUGUCUGGAAUGCUCUCCAAAUCUCUUUCUCGAAGUCCCGUCCUUUUCUUAAAAGCCUCUCCUGACCCUUCCAGGCUUCAGGGCUCCCUGAGGCCAGAGACCAUGACCCUAGAGCCUUGCUGACCGACAGUGAGAAAGCAGACGCCCGAGAGGACCCUGGGUCCCACCCAACUCUGAGGGUCUGUCAUCACGGUCUUUGACGAGGGUGGGGAGAGCCUUCUCAAGGUUGUGCUCUCGUGUCUGACAGGAGAGGUUAAACUCCAGCUUGUGUGGGUGGCGAAAAGAUCUGGGCCAGAGGGGAGGACGGUUGUCCUAGAAGAAUUGGGUUGGGUCACACACCAAGGAAUUGCUCAAGGCUGGUUUCGCCGGUCAGCAAAAGGGUCCAGGAAGCAGAACCCGUGGGAGGGAAAAGAAACUGGGCUGCUCGCUCCAAAAGCCCGGCCACCCAAGUUCAGCAAGUUCACGUUCCUGGGGCCUUGUGGGAGGGAAGGGGAACAGCUGGGCUCCUUGCUAUAGGUCUGUGCUUUUCCAAGCAAAGCGUCACGGAGCCUCAUCAUCCAAAGAGAUCAACACGCCUACUGGGAGACUAACGAAGAUCUCAAAUCUGGAGUAUUCGAUUACUAACGCAGGUCCUGGGCACUGGGAGGUUGAAAAACCACCAUAUGAACGGAGUUAGAUCUGAAAGCAAGGGGCUUGAUCUCUCACCACACACAUCAGCUGAACUGUGCCGUGAACCUGAUGUUUGUUUAUUAGUAAACAACCAGCACCAGUGUGCUAUUUUUGUGGUCGAUUUCUUUGUUUGGGUUCAUUUCCUUUUUGAAACAUUUCAUGAAUAUAUUUGUACCACAAUCAAAUUCAUGAUUCUUAAAAUUCACUAGAAGGCAAGACACAAAACAAAACAAAACUCAGAGCAUGAAAAUAUUCUAUGAAGGGAGAGUAAAUGGAACAGAUUUUUUUUUUCUGUGCAAGUUUCUUGUAGAAAUCUGAAUCCCGUCACAACUUUUCAUCCUUAAACUAACUGGAGGCUAAAGCCUAUCUUUAUUCCUUGAUUUUUAAUUGGAGAAUCCAUUUGAUCAUUUUUUUUUUUUUUUUUUUUUUUUUUUUUUUUUUUUUCAGCGUUUAUUUAUUUUUGGGACAGAGAGAGACAGAGCAUGAACGGGGGAGGGGCAGAGAGAGAGGGAGACACAGAAUCGGAAACAGGCUCCAGGCUCUGAGCCAUCAGCCCAGAGCCUGACGCGGGGCUCGAACUCCCGGACCGCGAGAUCGUGACCUGGCUGAAGUCGGACGCUUAACCGACUGCGCCACCCAGGCGCCCCCCAUUUGAUCAUUUUUAAGGUGAAAACAGUAAACGACUUAGAAGUACUUUUCUACCUCGUUGGGGUUUACUUUGAUGACUGAAAAUCAAGGGUCUCAGGAUGCUGUUUGCAAGUAAGUAGGAAUCAAAAUUUCUAAGAACAACAAGCUUUUAAGUUAGGUCUCUUAUCCCAAACCUCCUGUCUCAUUUACACAAUUGUCUCCCACUAAAACAGGGCUUAUGCUGAAAACAUGCGUGGGGGCACCUGGAUGGCUCAGUCGGUUAAGUAUCGGACUCUUGAUUUCGGCUCAGGUCGUGAUCUCACGGUUCGUGGGUUCGAGCCCCGCAUGAGGCUCUGUGCUGACAACGUGGAG
rnacentral:lncRNA from 1 species